AAAUCAAUCAAUAUAUUGGAACAGCCAACAGUUGAGACACGUCCUAUCUAUCUAUCUAUACAACAAAUGACAGCUACCUUCAUUCUUCUCCAAGCUUUUUCUGUAAAUAAAUAAUACUCCCAUCAAGUCAGGUAAUCUUCAGACAAGAAAGGAGACACAACAUAUACCUAACCAUUUAGGUUGUAUUUGGUUGACGUAUUCUGUAUUGAUAUUUUUCCCUCGGCUUGACUUGCGAUAACUAUAACCCCGCUUGAAGCCCAAAAAUAUUUAUCAAAAAAUGAUCUAAUCACUGUCGCCAGAAUAAUAAUCAUUGUUGCCUGUACUUUCUUCUCCGUCUUGGUUUUCAACUUCAUGAUCAUCCGGAUCAUUACUGGAAUGAUCAAAUGGUUCUCUUUCUGUAAGGAAGAACCCAUCCUCAGAAGGCUUGUAGUUUUGACCCCUCCAUACCACAAUCUGCUCUUUAUCGAAUGUCACGAGUAUACAAGGAACCAAA
rnacentral:misc_RNA from 1 species